GGUGCCGCAGCUAACGCAUUAAGUAUUCCGCCUGGGGAGUACGCACGCAAGUGUGAAACUCAAAGGAAUUGACGGGGACCCGCACAAGCAGCGGAGCAUGUGGUUUAAUUCGAAGCAACGCGAAGAACCUUACCAGGUCUUGACAUGCAGAUGACCGACUCUUAAUCGAGUCUUUCCUUCGGGACAUCUGACACAGGUGGUGCAUGGUUGUCGUCAGCUCGUGUCGUGAGAUGUUGGGUUAAGUCCCGCAACGAGCGCAACCCUUACUUUUAGUUGCCAUCAGGUAAUGCUGGGCACUCUAAAGGGACUGCCGUGGACAACACGGAGGAAGGUGGGGAUGACGUCAAAUCAUCAUGCCCCUUAUGAUCUGGGCUACACACGUGCUACAAUGGUCGGUACAACAGGCAGCGAAAGGGUGACCUGGAGCUAAUCCUCUAAAGCCGAUCUCAGUUCGGAUUGUAGGCUGCAACUCGCCUACAUGAAGUUGGAGUUGCUAGUAAUCGUGGAUCAGAAUGCCGCGGUGAAUGCGUUCCCGGGUCUUGUACACACCGCCCGUCACACCAUGGAAGCUGGGGGCGCCCGAAGCCCGUGAUCCAACCCCUUUGGGGAGGAAGCGGUCGAAGGUGAAAUCAGUGACUAGGGUGAAGUCGUAACAAGGUAGCCGUAUCGGAAGGUGCGGCUGGAUCACCUCCUUU
rnacentral:rRNA from 1 species